rnacentral:rRNA from 1 species
UGGAGAGUUUGAUCCUGGCUCAGGACGAACGCUGGCGGCGUGCUUAACACAUGAAGUCGAACGGAAAGGUCUCUUCGGAGAUACUCGAGUGGCGAACGGGUGAGUAACACGUGGGUGAUCUGCCCUGCACUUCGGGAUAAGCCUGGGAAACUGGGUCUAAUACCGGAUAGGACCACGGGAUGCAUGUCUUGUGGUGGAAAGCGCUUUAGCGGUGUGGGAUGAGCCCGCGGCCUAUCAGCUUGUUGGUGGGGUGACGGCCUACCAAGGCGACGACGGGUAGCCGGCCUGAGAGGGUGUCCGGCCACACUGGGACUGAGAUACGGCCCAGACUCCUACGGGAGGCAGCAGUGGGGAAUAUUGCACAAUGGGCGCAAGCCUGAUGCAGCGACGCCGCGUGGGGGAUGACGGCCUUCGGGUUGUAACCUCUUUCACCAUCGACGAAGGUCCGGGUUCUCUCGGAUUGACGGUAGGUGGAGAAGAAGCACCGGCCAACUACGUGCCAGCAGCCGCGGUA